AUACUUACCUGGCAGGAGAGAUACCACGAUCAUGAAGGUGGUUUCCCCAGGGCGAGGCUCACCCAUUGCACUCCGGGUGUGCUGACCCCUGUGAUUUCCCCAAAUGUGGGAAACUCGACUGCAUAAUUAAAAAAAGAAAAAUGUGUAUAUAUAUAUAUAUCCAUUUUU